rnacentral:rRNA from 1 species
UUGUUGGUAAGGUAAAAGCUUACCAGGGCUUCGAUCAGUAGCUGGUCUGAGAGGACGACCAGCCACACUGGGACUGAGACACGGCCCAGACUCCUACGGGAGGCAGCAGUGGGGAAUUUUGGACAAUGGGGGCAACCCUGAUCCAGCCAUGCCGCGUGAGUGAAGAAGGCCUUCGGGUUGUAAAGCUCUUUCAGCCGGAACGAAACGGUUACGGAUAACACCCGUGACUACUGACGGUACCGGAAGAAGAAGCACCGGCUAACUACGUGCCAGCAGCCGCGGUAAUACGUAGGGUGCGAGCGUUAAUCGGAAUUACUGGGCGUAAAGCGUGCGCAGGUGGUUUUGUAAGUCAGAUGUGAAAGCCCCGGGCUCAACCUGGGAACUGCGUUUGAAACUACAAGACUAGAGUGUGGCAGAGGGGGGUGGAAUUCCGCGUGUAGCAGUGAAAUGCGUAGAGAUGUGGAGGAACACCGAUGGCGAAGGCAGCCCCCUGGGUCAACACUGACGCUCAGGCACGAAAGCAUGGGGAGCAAACAGGAUUAGAUACCCUGGUAGUCCAUGCCCUAAACGAUGUCAACUAGUUGUCGGGCCUUUACGGGCUUGGUAACGUAGCUAACGCGUGAAGUUGACCGCCUGGGGAGUACGAUCGCAAGAUUAAAACUCAAAUGAAUUGACGGGGACCCGCACAAGCGGUGGAUUAUGUGGAUUAAUUCGAUGCAACGCGAAAAACCUUACCUACCCUUGACAUGUAUCGAAGCCCGCAGAAAAGCGGGGGUGCCCGAAAGGGAACGAUAACACAGGUGCUGCAUGGCUGUCGUCAGCUCGUGUCGUGAGAUGUUGGGUUAAGUCCCGCAACGAGCGCAACCCUUGUCAUUAAUUGCCAUCAUUUAGUUGGGCACUUUAAUGAGACUGCCGG